AAAAAAAAUGGCUUUCCGCAUCCGCCUUCCGUAGUUGGACGUAGUACUGGGACUUAUUCGGAAGUCGUAAAAAUAUCCAACUAUAGGCGCAGAUGGCGUCAGCCGGGGACACGGAGAUUUUCUUUUGUGUCCAUCUCUGAGCUGAUCGUAAAAAAAAAAAAAUGUGCGACGCGACAAAAGAGCCAAAGAUAUCGAGGGAAAGUGUGUGUGCUGGGCAGGCCGGCCGGCCGCGCACUUCCGCACUGUUGCAUCGCUCAUAGCCGCCCGUCGAAUCUACAACAAAAGACGGAAAAAGUACAUCACACGCUGUUGUUGUGUUAGCCAUCGAAGGGGGCUUGGCAGCCAUUCAAAAACCGUAGGAUGACCAAGCGAAAAAAAGAACACUCUCUCGGUACACAUCUCACCUGCGGUGCUGUUGAGCUCCACUCAGCCCACCAUUACCAACUAUUUAUGCAGUGACUGUGUGCUGGCCAAAAAGAAAAAAGAAAAACAUUCCUUGGGAAAAUGCAAAAAAAGGAGGAAGAACUUGUGAAUAUGUGUAACAAGCCGACAGCCGCUGUGAGUGAAUGUCUUGUCCGUCCGCUUCUAAUUCGAGUCGACUAGACGCCAGGAUGGAACAAAACAACACGAGAAUGCCAAAGAAGAAAUGGCGUGGUGAUGUUGUUGGUGUUCAAGUGUUUUGAUUCAUCAUCCAUUCUUGGCAGCUCGUCGCCUUGGUCAUCCCCUCCACCAUGUAACACUGAGCAGUCUGAGGUCAGCUCAGCCAAACAAAACGGCGCAUAUUUUUCCCUUUUUCCUUGUUGAUGUUUUCCCCUCGACUCUUCUUGUGGAAUGCCAUCAGCCCAGGUAGAACAGGCCCAGGACACACACAGGUGUACGCACAGACGAGAGAGUCAAGUGGAGACGUAUGCACAGGUAUUGUUUUGCCAUUUGCAUUCGUGUUUUUUUUUCCCGCCAUGACUAUACUACCCUGUUCAACUCCAUCACCUUUGAUGGGUGAUUUUGUUUUAGGGGGUUGGUUUUACCUAUGCAAUUCUUUAGGGGGCUAUGUAAAAACCCAGUGAAUUACAAUUUCUCGCAAAA